rnacentral:tRNA from 1 species
GGAAGGGCAAGCCGAUAGUUGGCGACGGCAGCGGUCUUGAAAAUCGCCGAGUGUAAAAGCCUUGUGGGUUCGACCCCCACCCCUUCCG